CCCCGCGGUGGGGCGGUGCCUUCCGCAACUCCCGGAGCGGCGCCGCGCGGAGGGGCGCGGUGCCGCCCGGUGGGCUGAGGGAUAUCGGGCAGUGCGGGAGAUCCUCGCGGGGGAAAGGACGGGUGAACGCUCGGGUAAACGUUCCACAGGGGGGAUACGAGAAGAGCCCCCGAGAUGCAUCCCUCCCUCGCCCUUGACACUGCCUCUUUCCCAGAAUGAAUAAGCAACACAUUGCUUCCCCGCUGCCCUCCCGGCCCUGUCUGCGCGCAGCUAAGCAGAAUAACAGUUCCACUACACAGAAUAGAAAAGAACCUAAUGACUACAACAGGUGGAAAGAUCUUGUCCCGAAAUUUCGCUCCCGUUUUUUUUUUUUUUUUUUUUUUUUCCCCUUACAUUUCCCUCCCGAGUUAAGUGGAACCUUCCCGCUGCCGCAGAGCGACUUUCCUGGCACCCGCGGCCGUGCUUUCGCCCAGCGCUCCGCGGCCCGCGGCCACUUAACGCUGUGUAAACCUCGGCUUCGCCCGCUGGGGCCAGAACCACAUCAGAGCCGGGUUGGGAGCAACCCUUCCAAGGGAAACUUGACAUUGCUUGAAGCGCCGAAACACGCGGCUGGUCCUGCAACUGGAUCUCUUGAACUCGGGUUGACACUGAGAUGCUCUCGCUGGCAAUGAGAAAGGGGAGCACGCCAGCCUUGGGGGUUGCUUGGCCUCCCUAGUUCACCUACAUUUUCCCUUAUAUACAUACAUAUAUAUCGAUACAAACAUAUAUGUAUGUAUAUAUAUAUAUAUUUAAAGGUACUGCAGAGGGAGAGAUAUAGGUUUACUUCCCCCUAUGCCCCCCCCCCCCCCCCCCGUAGUCCGGGUUGUUUAUACAGGUGCGGGCUGAACGCUUUCCCUGCUAAAGAUUAAUGGGAGAAAGUGCAGAAUUUCUUUAAACAAAGGAGAAAAUCGUACCCGGUCUCAAAAGCCACAAUGGCAAAAUCUCACCUUCCGCACCCACCUCUUCCUCAGCCAGUUAAAGGCGAUGUAGAAUGAAUAUUCCUUCUCUUUUAAUGUCGGGAUGGGGCAGAGAGAGGGGCUGGGAAAUAAAGGAAUGGCCAAAUUCUCAGAUCAUCUUUGCCUGCACCUGGGUUCGUGCAGGCAAUGGGAAGUGCCAUUGGGUGAACUGAGAGUGAGCCUCGACUUCGGAUUUACACCCAAAGAAGCUGAGCAAAACGGAUUCCUCUCAUAUCCACCAAACCUCUGAUUUGCGCGACCUCAGCCAAGACUUUGAUCCUUUAGGCUCUCCGCGUGCUGAAGGAGGGGAAAUGCCCCCUGGUACACGGAGGAAGCGUUUCACGCCCGUUAUUAGGUACAAUCCCUUUCCCUUUCCCCCGUUCCUAAGUUAGAACACAGCUCGCCCCGCGCUGCGCUCCGAGGGCAGCAUCCUCUGCUCCAUCCUCCCUCCGUGCGGGGCAGCGGGGCCGGCAGCCCGCGGGUAGCCUGGAUGUGGCAGGACAGAAAAACAGCUUUUAUGUUCUUUCUGAAGUAAAAGUGCAGCAGGAAGAAAAAAAAAAAAAAAAAAAAAAAAAAAAUCCAGAGGCCAAGUCCGUAAAAGUCAGGUUAUCUCUGGGAAGAGGAGGGGGAGCCGCUAAAAGCAGCGUUCACUCUCUGGGGUGUUGGCAGCGACAAAGCAGGGCGGAGGAGAGAGAUGUGUUCUCGAUAAAGUGCCUUAAGUAACACUUUCCUUCGGCUUUUGUCCUCUCAUCGAACUCAGCAGAGCACCCGGAGUCACUUCGCUCCCACCUAAAAGUGCACUCACACUUUCGGAAAGGCCGCGAUCUUGGAGUUGUGCCGUUGGCCUGAAAAGACAGGAAUUAAUGGUGCAGCUGAAAGUGCAGUUUAUUUCUCCUCUCGGAGCAAAUUAGCUGGAAUAACAAGCAAACAUCAGCAAGAGGAAGCACUCUGUUACUCUCCUCCUUGUGUUUCACCCUAAGAGGGAAGCCCACCGGAGCCAGACGGAAGAGAUGGGGAAAGAUAACGGCACUGCAGCCUCUCCUUCUGCUGGGACGCUCCACCACGCUCCCUCAUUUCGGCCGAGCG